rnacentral:piRNA from 1 species
UGAGGGUGGGGCAGAAACACGUGGAC